CGACCUGCCUUUCGUUUUAUAUACGCGUCACUCAUAUUUUCUUCUAUUCUCUGCUCUUCUCUGCUCUUUUUCUUUUUCCAAGUCGCAUGUUCAAAAAUCCGUAACCCUCCCGUUAAAACUCCAAUCUCCGCGCGCACCCCAUUUCAACGGCUCGUUCUUCGGACCGCCAACCUCACCGGUCUUGGGGUUUGUCUCCCCUUCAAACUCCGGUUUUGCCCCACGGAAGAGAUCUGGAUGCAGCUCCUCGCCGGUACCGGUAGCCUCGAUUCCUGGACUGACUGUGGAUGAAUCUCUCGACUGGGGAGACUGGUUGAUUUCCAGAAGCGUUCGAGGGGUGCUGAAGGCGCCAGUUGAUUGUUUUUGGAGGUUCUCGAAGAUCUCUUGUUCUUCUUUAGGGAGUCUGGGUGGAGAGGGCGCAUUUCCGAAUUGGCUGUUAGCAUUAUUAUCGCCUUUGGCUUGUACAGUGGUUGAGAAGGUUCGAGUGGCGCGGGAAGGGUAGUAGG
rnacentral:sRNA from 2 species